AGAGGGCGUCNUAACAUGCAGUCGAGCGGACAGAAGGGAGCUUGCUCCCGGAUGUUAGCGGCGGACGGGUGAGUAACACGUGGGUAACCUGCCUGUAAGACUGGGAUAACUCCGGGAAACCGGAGCUAAUACCGGAUAGUUCCUUGAACCGCAUGGUUCAAGGAUGAAAGACGGUUUCGGCUGUCACUUACAGAUGGACCCGCGGCGCAUUAGCUAGUUGGUGGGGUAAUGGCUCACCAAGGCGACGAUGCGUAGCCGACCUGAGAGGGUGAUCGGCCACACUGGGACUGAGACACGGCCCAGACUCCUACGGGAGGCAGCAGUAGGGAAUCUUCCGCAAUGGACGAAAGUCUGACGGAGCAACGCCGCGUGAGUGAUGAAGGUUUUCGGAUCGUAAAGCUCUGUUGUUAGGGAAGAACAAGUGCGAGAGUAACUGCUCGCACCUUGACGGUACCUAACCAGAAAGCCACGGCUAACUACGUGCCAGCAGCCGCGGUAAUACGUAGGUGGCAAGCGUUGUCCGGAAUUAUUGGGCGUAAAGGGCUCGCAGGCGGUUUCUUAAGUCUGAUGUGAAAGCCCCCGGCUCAACCGGGGAGGGUCAUUGGAAACUGGGAAACUUGAAUGCAGAAGAGGAGAGUGGAAUUCCACGUGUAGCGGUGAAAUGCGUAGAGAUGUGGAGGAACACCAGUGGCGAAGGCGACUCUCUGGUCUGUAACUGACGCUGAGGAGCGAAAGCGUGGGGAGCGAACACGAUUUAUAUACCCUGGUAGUCCACGCCGUAACGAUGAGUGCUAAAUUGUUAGGGUGUUUCCGCCCCUUAAUGCUGCAGCUAA
rnacentral:rRNA from 1 species